AACUAUUUCUCCAGAGCUGCCCCCGUGACAUCAACCGCUUCAACUACUCCACUCCCCUGUCUCACAACUUCUCUACUCCCCCGAACGUACUGCCAUCGACACACUCCGCAACAACCCAGAUCAGGU